rnacentral:rRNA from 1 species
AUUUAUGUCACGUUGAAAAUACCAGUUCUCAUCUGAUCACUGAAGUUUAGUAAUAUCAAGCUUAGCUAGUACUUAGAUAGGUGACCACAUGAGAAACCUAGGUGCUGUAAACA